AGUCUUUUUUUACUCUUCAAAAAUAUCUGUCUGAAAAGGCUACAUUUUCUCUCUAUCAAAACUCGUUUUUUUUUGCGAUUCACCACUACUGUCAAACCAGUUUCUCAGAUCUCUUCAGAUAUAUCUCCUAUCUCUUAUUUAUUCUUGAUCCAUAUAUAAUUGUAUCGUCCCAACUAUUUUCCAGUUUCUUUCCAACUGAUCUAAUUUUUUCCCAUUUCAAGCCUAUUUUUUGCAUGUCUGAUAACUUAUUCGUACAAUCCGAUGAUCGAUCUGAGCAAGAUUCAUCUUAGUCGUACUGUUUCUUUUUCCUGUCAAAACAUCAUCGAACACAAAAGAAAUCUUAUCCAAGAGGUUGAAGUAUUAGCUACAUGAUGUGCCUAACGCAUCUAUGAAGAAAGAAAAGUUUGAUUUGUGCAAGGUCGGGCAGAAAUAUAAUCAAAGCUGGAGUAAAGUGUCUAACAUUGAAAACCAUUGAAGAUAAAAAUGGGAAUGUCAAACACUUUCAGAAUUACAAUGGAGUAAGAGAUUGUAUAGAUUUCGGUAGCUAUUAUUGUCCGGAAGGUUGAAUACAUUAACUGGUUUUGAAUACAUCAACAGGUUUUAAAUGGUUUCACAUCAGGAAGGCGUGGAUGACUUUGGCUUCUCAACCAAGUUGUUAAUCGCAUCAAGAAUCCAAUAAACUUUGAACCCUGGAUGUCCAUGGAGCAUUAUUAUAAAUAUACAAAGAUUUGGUACAAAUACUGUCUAUGAAAUGAGAAUUAGUGUGUUAUAACAAUUGAAACUUCGACGUAAUCUAUACAUCUUUGAUAAGAAGCCGCAUGUAAAGUAACGUAAAUGUUGUUUUUAAAGAAAAAGGUUUUUCUGCUG